AAAAUUGGAAUUGGGAUUAAAAAAUUGGAUGGGAUCAAAAAAUUGGAAUUGGGAUUUUGAAAAUUGGAAUUGGGAUUAAAAAAUUGGAAUUGGGUUUUAAAAAAAUUGGAAUUGGGAUUAAAAAAAUUGGAAUUGGGAUUUUAAAAAUUGGAAUUGGGAUUUAAAAGAUUGGAAUUGGGAUUUUAAAAAUUGGGAUCAAAAAAAUUGGAAUUGGGAUUUAAAAAAUUGGAAUUGGGAUUUAAAAAAUUGGAAUUGGGAUUUAAAAAAUUGGAAUUGGGAUUUAAAAAAUUGGAAUUGGGAUUAAAAAAAUUGGAAUUGGGAUUUAAAAAUUGAUCCGGGGUUGAGGGAGGAAAGGGCGGAGGGGGAUUUUUUUUAUCGGGAUAUUUGGAUUUGGGAAAGGGGCGGUGCAGGAGGAGGAGGAAGAGGAGGGUGAGGUCAUUCCCAGUGGGAAUCCAAGCGGGAAUUUCCUCUGGAGAAGGGAGGAGGUGGCGGCGAUUUUGUAGAAAAUCAGAAUUAAAAAAAAAAAAAAACCAAGACAAAAGAAAACCCCAAAAUUCCCAAAUCCAGCUGGAAAAAUCCCAGUUGGGAAUGGCCAAAGGGAGGCUGGAGCAGCUUUUCCCCGCAUCCCACGGCUCCACUCGGAUCCAGGGAUGGCUCUGCCGGGGAAUUCUCAGCUGGGAGAGAUCCCAGGAGGAAUUUUAGGGAUGGGGGAGGCCGGGAUCUUUGUGCUGUCCCCAAAUUGGGGAAGGGAAGGAGCUUCCCGCUGCAUCCGGAAUCUUGGAAAAAUCGACUUUUUUUGCCCAAAUCGGCAAAUUCCCGGCGUUUCCCAUCUCCCUUUUCCGCACUGGAAUUCUUCCCGCUAAAGUCGGGGCCUGGGAAAUGUCCCGGGAAGUUUGGGGAGGGGAAGGAGCGGCUCCGUUCCCAGCCUUGGGAAUCUGGGAAUCCUUGGGAUUGACCUGGGAUGGAGAGAGGAGCCUGGGAGAGCAGGGAGAGGAGAAUCCAGGGAAAAGGGGAUCCAGGGAAAAGGGGAUCCAGGGAAAAGGGGAUCCAGGGAAAAGGGGAGAAGGAAAAUGGGAUGGAGAGAGGAGCCUGGGAGAGCAGGGAGAGGAGAAUCCAGGGAAAGGAGAAUCCAGGGAAAAGGGGGAUCCAGGGAAAAGGAGAAGCAGGAAAAGGGGAUCCAGGGAAAAUGGGAAGAAGGAAAAGGGGGAUCCAGGGAAAAGGGGAGCAGGAGACGCUUCCAUGGAGCCCUUGGAAAGUGCCGGGGCUGGCGGAUGCUCGGGAGAGCUCCGGGAAUUCCCAUGGAGUGGCCACAGGAUCCUUUGGGAAGAGGCAGAUCCCGGGAUUUGGGUGUCCGAGCCCAGUCCAUGUCCCCAGGGUCCAUCCCGGGGCUCAGCAGCUCCUGGGGGACAUUCCCAGAAUCCCAGAAUCCGUGAGGCUGGAAAAGAUUUCCCAAGGCCACGGCAGGGAGAGGCCAUU
rnacentral:lncRNA from 1 species